GGGCCUGCACAAGCGGUGGAGUAUGUGGCUUAAUUCGAUGCAACGCGAAGAACCUUACCUGGCCUUGACAUGUUGGUAGUAGAAGCCUGAAAGGGUAACGAGGUAGCAAUACCAGCCUACACAGGUGCUGCAUGGCUGUCGUCAGCUCGUGUCGUGAGAUGUUGGGUUAAGUCCCGCAACGAGCGCAACCCUUGUGUCCUGUUGCCACUCGAACGAGAGUUCGAAGCACUCUGGACAGACUGCCUCGUCUAAACGAGGAGGAAGGUGGGGAUGACGUCAAGUCAGUAUGGCCCUUACGGCCAGGGCUGCACACGUACUACAAUGCCCGGCACAGAGGGAAGCAAGACUGCAAAGUGGAGCAAAUCCCAAAAACCGGGCCCAGUUCAGAUUGUCGUCUGCAACUCGACGACAUGAAGCUGGAAUCGCUAGUAAUGGCGCAUCAGCUACGGCGCCGUGAAUACGUUCCCAGGCCUUGUACACACCGCCCGUCACAUCAUGAAAGCCGUUUGUACCCGAAGUCCAUGUGCUAACCGCAAGGGAGCAGUGGCCGAAGGUAUGGAUGGUGAUUGGGAUG
rnacentral:rRNA from 1 species